CUGCGUUUGUGCUUUCGGUUUCUCUUUGCUGCUUGCUGUACAGACCGAUACCACGCUGGCUGGCUAGGUUGCUCUGCUAGCCAAGAUGUAUCUGCCUUCAGCUGGGCUGGAUUCAGGCUUCAGGUUUUGUCCAGGUCCACUGCAACAGCCUCAGUUUUGCUGUGUCUAUGGCAUGUCUGUAGCCUAAGGCAUACUUUCUGCAUGGUGAUGGCAGAAGUAGAAGGUGAAAUCUCAUUGGCCCAAGGCUUCUCUGUAUGGGCUAGUUGGAGUUUCCAAACAGCUUGGUGGACUGAGAAUUGUCACACUGUGCACAAGGCAGGGUACAACUCUUGCACAGUUGUAGCCAGAGAACCAACUAAAGGUACCCAUAUUCUACCAUGAGCCUUGGGAAUUGCCCAGCAUUACUUCUUCAGUGUACGCUGGAACAACUGUAAACCUGCCCAAUUUCAAUGGGAAGGAAUGUGGAUUCCAACUCUCAAAGGUAUAGCUCCUUGAUGCAGAGGCCCCAUUUGUCCUUCUAUGUGAGCCCCUGAACUGCUGCCACCUCCAAAUGAAGGACACAGACAUGCAGGAGAGGGAUAUGGCUUCCAAGUUCCCUAGCUCCCAGCCUGCCUGCCUCACUGAAGACAGAUGAAGAAGCAGAUGUAGGCUAGGAGGGCCCUCAACUCCCCUGGGGCACAUCUGAAACUGAAAAGCAUCUUCCAGCUUCCACUGGACAUUAAGGGACCCAUUUUCCUGGCAAGCCUCCUGAAAGCAUGCAAAGAUCUACACCCAGAUGAUGGUGCUGCUCAUUCUUAAGAUGGGACUUCCCACGUCACCUAACGAAAUCAAGACAGUCUCCCACAGACACGCCCACUGGCCAACCUAAUACAGACAAUCCCUCAUUGAGACUCUUCCCAGGACUGGGAUCACAUACACUCCGGUGUCCGGCCUUUUCCAGUGAUGCUAAGAAUCUGAACUCAGGUCCUUGUGUUUGUGUGGCAAGCACUUUGCUCACAGAUCCAUCUCCUCAACCCUGAAGCUACCUUCCAUAGAAUAUUUGUAAUGCC
rnacentral:lncRNA from 1 species